AGAGUUUGAUCCUGGCUCAGGAUGAACGCUGGCGGUCUGCUUAACACAUGCAAGUCGAACGAAUCCCUUCGGGGAUUAGUGGCGGACGGGUGAGUAACGCGUGAGAAUCUACCAAAAGGACUGGGACAACCACUGGAAACGGUGGCUAAUACCGGAUGAGCCGCAACGUAAAAGAGGAAACUCGCCUUUUGAAGAGCUCGCGUCUGAUCAGCUAGUUGGUGAGGUAAAGGCUCACCAAGGCGGCGAUCAGUAGCUGGUCUGAGAGGAUGAUCAGCCACACUGGGACUGAGACACGGCCCAGACUCCUACGGGAGGCAGCAGUGGGGAAUUUUCCGCAAUGGGCGAAAGCCUGACGGAGCAAGACCGCGUGAGGGAGGAAGGCUCUUGGGUUGUAAACCUCUUUUGUCAGGGAAGAACACAAUGACGGUACCUGAAGAAUCAGCAUCGGCUAACUCCGUGCCAGCAGCCGCGGUAAUACGGAGGAUGCAAGCGUUAUCCGGAAUUAUUGGGCGUAAAGCGUCCGCAGGUGGCACUUCAAGUCUGCUGUCAAAGACCGGGGCUUAACCCUGGAAAGGCAGUGGAAACUGAAGCGCUAGAGUGUGGCAGGGGUAGAGGGAAUUCCCGGUGUAGCGGUGAAAUGCGUAGAGAUCGGGAAGAACAUCGGUGGCGAAAGCGCUCUACUGGGCCACAACUGACACUCAGGGACGAAAGCUAGGGGAGCGAAUGGGAUUAGAUACCCCCGUAGUCC
rnacentral:rRNA from 1 species